ensembl:lncRNA
CAAAAGAUGAUCCAGAAAUAAGCAAUUAUAUUGAUUAGAUUUUGCAUAGUAAUUCCAAUUUUAAUUCUUCAAAUAUCUUGUGAAAAAAAUUGUUAUUUUACACGACAGGAAAUGUUUGUCUUUAGAAAGAUUUAUCUUUCUCUAUUCCCAUAGGAGUAUAAUCUGAGUUUUAACCCAUCAUAUACAUAUUUACAUAUGUGCAUACUUUUUGGUGCUUAACUGUGUUUCAUACUGCUAACACAAAUUUGGGGAAAAGGAUAAUUUGAGAUUUGUGCUUCCCAUAUGUCUAAUACAAUUUGCAAGCCAUCUACUGUAUCACUUGUAAGCUUCAGAUUCUUUUCAUAUGAUUUGAUUUUCUAUCGAGGCAACAAGAUGGACUUCUGUUUUGCUUCAGAAAUCAUUCCCUGACAUCACCACACACUUUAAGGUAGCUGAGACCAAUUCAGCCUUUUGCAGCCUUUUAAGUAUCUGAGCACUGCACUUCAAAAAUGUUAUCAGUUGAAUUUGUUGAUCUGAGUAUGUACCAAAACAGAUACCAUGCAGCAUCUCUAAGUUGUAUGUUAGUAUAAAUUAGAGGUCAGAAAGCAUUUUUUUGAAAGGAACUUUAGGAAGUUCCCAUGAAGAAGAGAUGCUCAAAUAUUAGUUUUGUUUUCUUGCUGAUAUAUGUAGUGAAUCUCUCCUACAUCUGAAAGUUCAAAACUGUUGUAUGCGUAGCGAGGGAAACGAGGUGUGUUGUAGGCGUAGCGAGGGAAACGAGGUGUGACGCGUGCAGGUUCCUAUGCCACCUGUGUGUUAUGCCACCUGUGUGUGCCAAGUGUAACUUCGUGAUUGGAGGAAACACUUGUAUUUAAACACGUAGCCUAUAGCAAUAAAUGCCAUUUGCCUCACUUACUCCUGGGGUCUGGGUGAGCAUCUGGCCCCGACCUGGUAAAGGGUCGGUUUCGCCCAGCAGUAAGCCCUACAUGUGGACAGAGGACGAACACCGGACGAGCGAACGGAGACUACAUGCAACAAGUGGUGACCCCGACAUGAUCUGUCUGCUGAGGGUGGCUGCCCGGCGUGCCCGUGACGCGGAGAAGAGCCUGUGAGGUGGCGGCAGGUCGCGCACGGAAGAUGUAUUGCGGUUAAGAGCCUGCGAGGUGGCGGCAGGUCGCAUGCGUAACAAUGGACCAAGUCAUUAAGUUUCCAUGGAAAUAAAUAGAAGAGGCAUUACUUUCAGAAAAACUAG